GAUGAAGAACGUAGCGAAAUGCGAUAAGUAAUGUGAAUUGCAGAAUCCAGUGAAUCAUCGAAUCUUUGAACGCCCAUUGCGCCCCCUGGUAUUCCGGGGGGCAUGCCUGUUCGAGCGUCAUUUCACCACUCAAGCCUCGCUUGGUAUUGGGCAACGCGGUCCGCCGCGUGCCUCAAAUCGACCGGCUGGGUCUUCUGUCCCCUAAGCGUUGUGGAAACUAUUCGCUAAAGGGUGUUCGGGAGGCUACGCCGUAAAACAACCCCAUUUCUAAGGUUGACCUCGGAUCAGGUAGGGAUACCCGCUGAACUUAAGCAUAUCAAUAAGCGGAGGA
rnacentral:misc_RNA from 1 species